GCUACCGUAGUGCAGUGGUUAGUACGUUUCGUUGUGGGAGGCGCCUGCUUCUCCAGACUCUACCACCGCUUUGGUUGGCGUGAGGCACAGACGGGAGAGUAGUAGAGGCGCAACUCAGAUUCUCCGAGGGGACCCUGGUUCAAAUCCAAGCGCUGACA